rnacentral:rRNA from 1 species
UACGGAGGGUGCAAGCGUUGUCCGGAAUCACUGGGCGUAAAGGGCGCGUAGGCGGCUCAUGAAGCUGUUGGUGAAAGUCCGGGGCUCAACCUCGGAUCGGCCGUGGCGACUCGUGGGCUGGAGCACUGUAGAGGCGGGUGGAAUUCCGGGUGUAGCGGUGGAAUGCGUAGAGAUCCGGAAGAACACCAGUGGCGAAGGCGGCCCGCUGGGCAGUGGCUGACGCUGAGGCGCGACAGCGUGGGGGAGCAAAACAGG